rnacentral:rRNA from 1 species
UACAGAGGGUGCAAGCGUUAAUCGGAAUUACUGGGCGUAAAGCGUGCGUAGACGGUCAUGUAAGUCGGGUGUGAAAGCCCCGGGCUCAACCUGGGAAUUGCAUUCGAGACUGCAUGGCUAGGGUGCGGAAGAGGGAAGCGGAAUUUCCGGUGUAGCGGUGAAAUGCGUAGAUAUCGGAAGGAACACCAGUGGCGAAGGCGGUUCUCUGGGCCUGUACUGACGCUGAGGAGCGAAAAGCGUGGGGAGCGAACAGG